rnacentral:rRNA from 1 species
AUAAAAAUCAACUUUGUUGGUGAAUCAUAAUAACUUCUCGGACCGCAUGGCCUCGUGCUGGCGGUGCUUCAUUCAAAUAUCUGCCCUAUCAACUGUCGAUGGUAGGAUAGAGGCCUACCAUGGUUGCAACGGGUAACGGGGAAUAAGGGUUCGAUUCCGGAGAGGGAGCCUGAGAAGCGGCUACCACAUCCAAGGAAGGCAGCAGGCGCGCAAAUUACCCAAUCCCAACACGGGGAGGUAGUGACAAUAUGUAACAAUAUACGGCCUUAUACGUCGUAUAAUUGGAAUGAGUACAAUUUAAAUCCCUUAACGAGGAACAAUUGGAGGGCAAGUCUGGUGCCAGCAGCCGCGGUAAUUCCAGCUCCAAUAGCGUAUAUUAAAGUUGUUGCAGUUAAAAAGCUCGUAGUUGGACCUUGGACCUGGACAGGCGGUCCGCCUCACGGCGAGUACUGUCUUGCUGGGUCUUUCCUCUUGGUGAUCUGUUGUUUCGGCAG